rnacentral:rRNA from 1 species
GGAAUAUUGGGCAAUGCCCGCAAGGGUGACCCAGCAACGCCGCGUGGAGGAUGAAUGUCGUAAGAUUGUAAACUCCUGUUAGAGGGGAAGAAUAGUACCGGUUGGACCGGUAUAUGACUGUACCCUCAGAGAAAGCCCCGGCUAACUACGUGCCAGCAGCCGCGGUAAUACGUAGGGGGCAAGCGUUGCCCGGAUUUACUGGGUGUAAAGGGCGCGCAGGCGGGAUAAAAAGUCAGUGGUGAAAUCCUACAGCUUAACCGUAGAACUGCCUUUGAUACUUGUAUUCUUGAGUUCGGGAGAGAGAGACGGAAUUCCAGGUGUAGUGGUGAAAUACGUAGAUAUCUGGAAGAACACCAGUGGCGAAGGCGGUCUCUUGAUCCGACACUGACGCUGAGGCGCGAAAGCGU